GGCAACGGACCAAGAUGGCGGCGCCCAAUGAGGGGCAAACGUUUGCUGCGGGGGUUGAAAAAACUUGGGGUGCAGUCGUUCGCUCCCCAGAAGGAACCCCCCAGAAAAUUCGGCAGCUGAUCGAUGAGGGGAUUGCCCCGGAAGAGGGAGGCGCGAAUGCGAAGGACACAUCCGCCACAUUCCAGUCAGCUAAUGGAUCACCCCAGGCAGAACAACCUCCAUUGGAAUCUACAAGCAAAGAAGCCUUCUUUAGCAGAGUGGAAACAUUUUCUUCUUUGAAAUGGGCAGGUAAGCCCCCUGAGCUGUCUCCACUUAUCUGUGCAAAAUAUGGCUGGGUCACAGUUGAAUGCGAUAUGCUCAAGUGCUCCAGCUGUCAAGCUUUUCUCUGCGCCAGUUUACAACCAGCUUUUGACUUUGACAAAUAUACGGAACGAUGUGCUGAGCUGAAGAAAGCCUUGUGUACUGCCCAUGAGAAGUUCUGUUUCUGGCCAGACAGCCCCUCUCCAGAUCGAUUUGGGAUGUUGCCAUUGGAUGAGCCUGCUAUUCUUGUUAGUGAAUUCCUAGAUCGUUUCCAAAGCCUUUGUCACUUGGACCUCCAGCUUCCUUCCCUGAGGCUGGAAGACUUGAAAUCUAUGUGCUUGACAGAAGACAAGAUCAGUCUUCUCCUGCACCUGCUCGAAGAUGAACUUGAUCACCGAACUGAUGAGAGAAAAACUGCAAUCAAAUUAGGCUCAGAUAUCCAAGUCCAUGUCACUGCCUGUAUUCUCUCUAUGUGUGGCUGGGCAUGUAGUUCUUCUCUGGAGCCCAUGCAGCUCUCCCUGAUAACAUGUUCCCAGUGUAUGAGGAAGGUGGGGCUCUGGGGCUUCCAGCAGAUUGAGACAUCCAUGACUGACCUGGAUGCGUCAUUUGGCCUAACCACCUCCCCCAUCCUAGGCCCUGAGGGGCGGUCAGAGCGCUUCCCACUGGUGCCUGAAUCCCCUCGGAGGAUGAUGACCCGAAGCCAGGAUGCCACUUUUUCCCCAGGCUCAGAGCAGGCUGAGAAGAUCCCAGGUCCUAUUGUCUCCCGAACUCGGAGCUGGGACUCUUCCAGUCCCGUUGACCGUCCUGAGCCAGAGGCUGUUAGCCCCACCACCAGAACCCGCCCAGUGACCCGAAGCAUGGGAACAGGAGACCCGACUGGCCUGGAGGUACCAUCUAGCCCUCUGCGGAGAGCCAAGCGAGCUCGCCUCUGCUCUUCCAGCAGCUCGGACACAUCUUCCCGAAGCUUCUUUGAUCCUACCUCUCAGCACAGAGACUGGUGCCCCUGGGUGAAUAUCACACUUGGCAAAGAAACUAGGGAGAAUGGUGAAACUGAGCCAGAUGCCAGCACCCCCACACAGCCGGGCUGGAAGGCAGUGCUAACUCUCCUUUUGGCCCACAAACAGUCUAGCCAGCCGGCUGAAACAGACUCCAUGAGUCUCUCUGAGAAAUCAAGGAAGGUAUUCCGAAUAUUCCGGCAGUGGGAAUCCUCAUGUUCAUCCUGAAGAUGUUCCAGCCCCUUCCUGGAGAGAAUUGGAAUGAGUGACUUUUUGUUUUUUUGGUUUUUGUUUUUGGCGGCUGGCUGAUAUAUGGAUCCAGACCCUUGACUUGGUUGUUACAAGGCUGCACUCUAACCGACUGAGCUAACCAGCUCGCCCACGAAUGACUUUUUGGAAAAUAAAGUCUGAAUUCCUUUUGGUCAGCUGAUGUUAAACUUUUCUCCAUUCUGGUUUCACAAUAAGGAACCCGAGCCAUUGCAAAGGCAGUGAUUGUCAACCAUCUGCAUCUGACUGAGGGGAGACCCUUUUCCAUGUGGGGAUGUGGACAGGGUAAGGCACAGCAAGUCCAGUUCUGUUCAAGGAGCACGGAGCUAUGAUACUAUAUGAAGGACCAAGAAUUUGAGCACCCAUCUCAGCAUCUGUAGUGUGGGGCAGUGUUCUGAGGUCUCCUCUAUCCCAGGAAUAUGACAGGAUGUGUUAAUAAAAUAUUUACUAAGAUUCUUACUGCUGGAAAACUGUUAUCUUCCUUGCCCUGCAGGCUAGAGAAAACUUCAGUGGAACAGUCAACAAGGUCAGAGUUUGGUUUUCAGUUUGGCUGCAAAGCCUGAAAUUUAUUUGUGAUUCCAGUCAAAGAUGUAUAAUCUGUCUUAAAACAGAGGCAAGAUGAUUUUCAUUGUGUCACCAGGAGAUCUGGUGUGUUAUAGAGAACGGUCUCUCCUAAACCAACUUAAGCUCUUUGAAGCUGAAGCUGAAUGGUUUCUGCCAUAAGCUAUUCCAGUGAUGGAAAAAGACCGAAAGCACUAAGACAGUCAAUAGGGAGAAAAAAAUGAAGAAAAUGGAGAGAAUGAAUAUUUACUGAGGAGUUAGAGAAAGGAAAAAAACUGCCUAAAUUUAAAGUCCAGGCCUGCAGUUGGUGCCUGCUCUGCCAACUGAAGAGCAGGAGGUUUGGGCUGUAGGGCUGGGCCCCAUCUCUGAGCUGCUGCCCACUGAGCCAGAGCAAGCAGCAGAGGCUGGUGGACUGUGGUGGAUGCCAGAACUGGAAUUAACGCUGCGGAACAGGUCACCACAUCUGAGGCAAGUAAAGCAAGCCUUUGAGAAUUCUGAUACUUGCCUCCUCGAUUGCCCAAGUGGGAAUUUAG